rnacentral:rRNA from 1 species
CGACCGGCGCACGGGUGAGUAACACGUAUGAAACCUGCCCGUAGCAGGGGGAUAAGCGGGAAGAAAUUCCGUCUAAUACCGCGUAACAACCCAUGGAGGCAUCUCUGUGGGUUUAAAGGAAGCGAUUCCGGCUACGGAUGGUCAUGCGUCGCAUUAGCUUGUUGGCGGGGUAGCGGCCCACCAAGGCGACGAUGCGUAGGGGUUCUGAGAGGAAGGUCCCCCACACUGGUACUGAGACACGGACCAGACUCCUACGGGAGGCAGCAG